rnacentral:rRNA from 1 species
UUGAAAUCUGGCACCUUCGGUGUCCGAGUUGUAAUUUGAAGAAGGUAACUUUGGAGUUGGCUCUUGUCUAUGUUCCUUGGAACAGGACGUCACAGAGGGUGAGAAUCCCGUGCGAUGAGAUGCCCAAUUCUAUGUAAAGUGCUUUCGAAGAGUCGAGUUGUUUGGGAAUGCAGCUCUAAGUGGGUGGUAAAUUCCAUCUAAAGCUAAAUAUUGGCGAGAGACCGAUAGCGAACAAGUACAGUGAUGGAAAGAUGAAAAGAACUUUGAAAAGAGAGUGAAAAAGUACGUGAAAUUGUUGAAAGGGAAGGGCUUGAGAUCAGACUUGGUAUUUUGCGAUCCUUUCCUUCUUGGUUGGGUUCCUCGCAGCUUACUGGGCCAGCAUCGGUUUGGAUGGUAGGAUAAUGACUAAGGAAUGUGGCUCUACUUCGGUGGAGUGUUAUAGCC